rnacentral:rRNA from 1 species
UACAGAGGGUGCAAGCGUUGUUCGGAAUUAUUGGGCGUAAAGGGCGCGUAGGCGGUGCGGUAAGUCACCUGUGAAACCUCUGGGCUUAACUCAGAGCCUGCAGGCGAAACUGCCGUGCUUGAGUGUGGGAGAGGUGCGUGGAAUUCCCGGUGUAGCGGUGAAAUGCGCAGAUAUCAGGAGGAACACCGGUGGCGAAGGCGGGUCUCUGGGCCGAUACUGACGCUGAGGAGCGAAAGCGUGGGGAGCGAACAGG